AGCGAACGCUGGCGGCAGGCCUAACACAUGCAAGUCGAACGGACCCUUCGGGGUUAGUGGCGGACGGGUGAGUAACACGUGGGAACGUGCCCUUUGGUUCGGAACAACUCAGGGAAACUUGAGCUAAUACCGAAUGUGCCCUUCGGGGGAAAGAUUUAUCGCCAUUGGAGCGGCCCGCGUCUGAUUAGCUAGUUGGUGUGGUAACGGCCCACCAAGGCGACGAUCAGUAGCUGGUCUGAGAGGAUGAUCAGCCACAUUGGGACUGAGACACGGCGCAAACUCCUACGGGAGGCAGCAGUGGGGAAUCUUGCGCAAUGGGCGAAAGCCUGACGCAGCCAUGCCGCGUGAAUGAUGAAGGUCUUAGGAUUGUAAAAUUCUUUCUCCGGGGACGAUAAUGACGGUACCCGGAGAAGAAGCCCCGGCUAACUUCGUGCCAGCCGCCGCGGUAACAC
rnacentral:rRNA from 1 species